AUUGAACGCUGGCGGCAGGCCUAACACAUGCAAGUCGAAUGGUAACAGGAAACAGCUUGCUGUUUCGCUGACGAGUGGCGGACGGGUGAGUAAUGUCUGGGAAACUGCCUGAUGGAGGGGGAUAACUACUGGAAACGGUAGCUAAUACCGCAUAACGUCGCAAGACCAAAGAGGGGGACCUUCGGGCCUCUUGCCAUCAGAUGUGCCCAGAUGGGAUUAGCUAGUAGGUGGGGUAACGGCUCACCUAGGCGACGAUCCCUAGCUGGUCUGAGAGGAUGACCAGCCACACUGGAACUGAGACACGGUCCAGACUCCUACGGGAGGCAGCAGUGGGGAAUAUUGCACAGUGGGCGCAAGCCUGAUGCAGCCAUGCCGCGUGUAUGAAGAAGGCCUUCGGGUUGUAAAGUACUUUCAGCGGGGAGGAAGGGAGUAAAGUUAAUACCUUGGCUCAUUGACGUUACCCGCAGAAGAAGCACCGGCUAACUCCGUG
rnacentral:rRNA from 1 species